GCACUGCUGAGGAGGUCUACAAUAGGACGAAACGGCCGUCCAGUGC
rfam:Schistosoma mansoni strain Puerto Rico chromosome 2, complete genome